GGUAUAAAUGUCCCUCCAACUUGAGACCGCCAUGGUGAGUUGCAAGCAACUCACUGCACUUAGGCACUGGACUACCUGAAUUUCUAAUUCAGUGACAGAAGGCUGCUGGGUGUAGUCAAGUACUUGACUUGUCGGUGCGUGUGUCAAGAUGGGAUUGACCACUCCAGUUCAGGAGCUGUGUACAGUCGUGUUUCAAUUUAGCAAA
rnacentral:lncRNA from 1 species